AUUGAACGCUGGCGGCAUGCCUUACACAUGCAAGUCGAACGGUAACAGGUUAAGCUGACGAGUGGCGAACGGGUGAGUAAUAUAUCGGAACGUGCCCAGUAAUGGGGGAUAGCCCGGCGAAAGCCGGAUUAAUACCGCAUACGACCUACGGGUGAAAGCAGGGGAUCGCAAGACCUUGCGUUAUUGGAGCGGCCGAUAUCAGAUUAGCUUGUUGGUGGGGUAAAAGCCCACCAAGGCGACGAUCUGUAGCUGGUCUGAGAGGACGACCAGCCACACUGGGACUGAGACACGGCCCAGACUCCUACGGGAGGCAGCAGUGGGGAAUAUUGCACAAUGGGCGAAAGCCUGAUGCAGCGACGCCGCGUGAGGGAUGACGGCCUGGUGUAACUACUU
rnacentral:rRNA from 1 species